UACGUAGGGUGCAAGCGUUGUCCGGAAUCAUUGGGCGUAAAGCGCGCGUAGGUGGCUUCGUAAGUCCGUUGUGAAAGUCAAAGGCUCAACCUUUGAAUGCCGAUGGAUACUGCGAAGCUAGAGUACGGAAGAGGCGAGUGGAAUUCCUGGUGUAGCGGUGGAAUGCGCAGAUAUCAGGAGGAACACCAAUAGCGAAGGCAGCUCGCUGGGACGUUACUGACACUAAGGCGCGAAAAGCGUGGGGAGCGAACAGG
rnacentral:rRNA from 1 species